UACGUAGGGUCCAAGCGUUGUCCGGAUUUAUUGGGCGUAAAGAGCGUGUAGGCGGCUAGGUAGGUCCGUUGUGAAAACUCGAGGCUCAACCUCGAGACGCCGAUGGAAACCAUCUGGCUAGAGUCCGGAAGAGGAGAGUGGAAUUCCUGGUGUAGCGGUGAAAUGCGCAGAUAUCAGGAAGAACACCCGUGGCUAAGGCGGCUCUCUAGUACGGUACUGACGCUGAGACGCGAAAGCGUGGGGAGCGAACAGG
rnacentral:rRNA from 1 species